rnacentral:piRNA from 1 species
UCUUUUCUCUCCAGACAGAUCAGGUAGCUA